AGCUCAGUGGUAGAGUGCUUGCCUUGCAUGCAUGAGGCCCUGAGUUCAAUUCCUCAG
rnacentral:tRNA from 1 species